UACAGAGGUCCCAAGCGUUGUUCGGAUUCAUUGGGCGUAAAGGGUGUGUAGGUGGCGCCGUAAGUCGGGUGUGAAAUCUCGGGGCUUAACUCCGAAACUGCAUUCGAUACUGCGGUGCUUGAGGACUGGAGAGGAGACUGGAAUUCAUGGUGUAGCAGUGAAAUGCGUAGAGAUCAUGAGGAAGACCAGUGGCGAAGGCGGGUUGCUGGGCUGACACUGACGCUGAGGCGCGAAAGCCAGGGGAGCGAACGGG
rnacentral:rRNA from 1 species